GUCAGCCGUUUGUUCGUCGCCUCGACACAUACGCCGGUGCUGUUCUUCUCGUCGCGCGGACAGGUCUACAAGGAGAAGGUCUGGCGUCUGCCGAUGGCCGCUCCGAAUUCGCGCGGCAAGGCGCUGAUCAACAUCCUGNNNNNUCGAGCAGGGCGAGCGCAUCACCACCAUCAUGCCGUUGCCCGAGGAUGAAUCGUCGUGGGCUAACCUUGACGUGAUGUUCGCCACGACAGGCGGCAACGUCCGGCGCAACAAGCUAUCUGAUUUCGUCGAUGUGCGUCGUUCCGGCAUUAUCGCCAUGAAACUCGAUGAGGGCGAGGCCAUCGUCGACGUGCAGAUUGCCACUGAAAAUGACGACGUGCUGCUGACCGCCGCCGGCGGACAGUGCAUCCGUUUCCCGGUAACAGAUGUGCGCGUGUUUAGCGGCCGAACCUCGAUGGGUGUGCGCGGCAUCGCUCUUG
rnacentral:misc_RNA from 1 species